rnacentral:rRNA from 1 species
AUUGAACGCUGGCGGCAGGCCUAACACAUGCAAGUCGAGCGGAGCGGCGGACGCGUGAGUAUUGCCUGGGAAUCUGCCUGUUAGUGGUGGAUAACGUCCGGAAACGGGCGCUAAUACCGCAUACUAUCAGAUGAGCCUAGGUCGGUUUAGCUAGUUGGGGGGGUAAAGGCCUACCAAGGCCACGAUCCGUAACUGGUCUGAGAGGAUGAUCAGUCACACUGGAACGGAGACACGGUCCAGACUCCUACGGGAGGCAGCAGUGGGGAAUAUUGGACAAUGGGAGAAAGCCUGAUCCAGCCAUGCCGCGUGUGUGAAGAAGGUCUUCGGAUUGUAAAGCACUUUUAGUAGGGAGGCGUUACCUGCAGAAUAAGCACCGGCUAACUUCGUGCCAGCAGCCGCGGUAAUAC